GCCUCCGUGGCGCAGUUGGUAAGCGCGAUGGUCCUCGCAAGGCCAAAGGUCGCAGGUUCGAGUCCUGCCGGAGGUG